GAAGACGCCAACGCAGCUGCUGGAACUGAUCCUCAGGCCUGUGAAGACAUAGUCCUGGCUCCCCCUAGUGGCCAGAAGCUCACAGCAUUAAGCUGGGAUGCCUCCUGCAAACUGGAUUUUUUUAAAGAUGUUGGGGGAGUGAAAUUUUGAACAAGAUUCAGACUGCAGAAAGCAGGCAGCUGCUGAGUGAGCCAUCCAUCGUGCAGGACAAAGAACACACCAUGGUUCUUUGCAGGGAAUCUUGGGGAUCAUGGAAAUCUACUCCCUGCUGGACAGAGGAGGAAACUGAGGUUCAGAUUGGAACACUUACCCUGGAGGAGAUGAGUGUGUCCAAGGUCGCCUGCCCGUCUAUCCUCUUCUAACGCCAAGCCUCAUUAUCAGGCAGGAGUUCCACAUAAUUCUUAGCCUGGUGAGAUUCUGGAAAAAAUCUGUAACCUAGUGGUA